UACGGAGGGUGCAAGCGUUGUUCGGAAUUACUGGGCGUAAAGGGCGCGUAGGCGGCCUGAUAAGUCAGAUGUGAAAGUCCACGGCUCAACCGUGGAAGUGCAUUUGAAACUGUCAGGCUUGAGUAUCGGAGGGGAGUGUGGAAUUCCCGGUGUAGAGGUGUAAUUCGUAGAGAUCGGGAGGAACACCGGUGGCGAAGGCGACACUCUGGACGCAUACUGACGCUGAGGCGCGAAAGCGUGGGGAGCAAACAGG
rnacentral:misc_RNA from 1 species